rnacentral:rRNA from 2 species
UAAGCAUAUCAAUAAGCGGAGGAAAAGAAACCAACAGGGAUUGCCUCAGUAACGGCGAGUGAAGCGGCAACAGCUCAAAUUUGAAAUCUGGCUCCCCUCGGGGGCCCGAGUUGUAAUUUGGAGAGGAUGUUUCUGGCGCGGCGCCUACCGGAGUUCCUUGGAACAGGACGCCACAGAGGGUGAGAGCCCCGUACGGUGGGACGCCUAGCCGCAACGAAACUCCUUCGACGAGUCGAGUAGUUUGGGAAUGCUGCUCAAAAUGGGAGGUAAAUUUCUUCUAAAGCUAAAUACCGGCCAGAGACCGAUAGCGCACAAGUAGAGUGAUCGAAAGAUGAAAAGCACCUUGAAAAGAGGGUUAAACAGUACGUGAAAUUGUUGAAAGGGAAGCGCCUGCGACCAGACUCGCGCCCCGCGGACCAGCCGGCGUUCUCGCCGGUGCACUCCGCGGGGUGCGGGCCAGCAUCGGUUUUCCCUGGGGGAGAAAGGCCGCGGGAACGUAGCUCCCUCGGGAGUGUUAUAGCCCGUGGCGUCAUGCCCCA